AGGCUGUACCCACGCCACGCAAGUGCACUGAACAACCUCGGGACACUGACAAAGGACACGGCAGAGGCAAAGCUGUACUACCAGAGGGCGCUGCAACUCCAUCCUCAGCACAACCGUGCGCUUUUCAACCUGGGGAAUCUCCUGAAUUGGCUCCUUCAGAAUGAAGACCUUCUAAGGAUUGUGAAGACAUGGAAACUAAUUAUUAUAAUAAAUUUAAAUGUUUGGUGCAUA